rnacentral:rRNA from 1 species
UACGUAGGGGGCAAGCGUUGUCCGGAUUUAUUGGGCGUAAAGAGCGUGUAGGCGCCAGACAGGUCCGUUGUGAAAACUCGAGGCUCAACCUCGAGACGCCGAUGGAAACCGUCUGGCUAGAGUCCGGAAGAGGAGAGUGGAAUCCUGGUGUAGCGGUGAAAUGCGCAGAUAUCAGGAAGAACACCCGUGGCUAAGGCGGCUCUCUAGUACGGUACUGACGCUGAGACGCGAAAGCGUGGGGAGCGAACAGG